rnacentral:rRNA from 1 species
AUUGAACGCUGGCGGCAGGCCUAACACAUGCAAGUCGAGCGGAUGAAGGGAGCUUGCUCCUGGAUUCAGCGGCGGACGGGUGAGUAAUGCCUAGGAAUCUGCCUGGUAGUGGGGGAUAACGUCCGGAAACGGGCGCUAAUACCGCAUACGUCCUGAGGGAGAAAGUGGGGGAUCUUCGGACCUCCCGCUUUCAGAUGAGCCUAGGUCGGAUUAGCUAGUUGGUGGGGUAAAGGCCUACCAAGGCGACGAUCCGUAACUGGUCUGAGAGGAUGAUCAGUCACACUGGAACUGAGACACGGUCCAGACUCCUACGGGAGGCAGCAGUGGGGAAUAUUGGACAAUGGGCGAAAGCCUGAUCCAGCCAUGCCGCGUGUGUGAAGAAGGUCUUCGGAUUGUAAAGCACUUUAAGUUGGGAGGAAGGGCAGUAAGUUAAUACCUUGCUGUUUUGACGUUACCAACAGAAUAAGCACCGGCUAACUUCGUG